UGGAUAGAUGGGGUUCCCGCCGCCUCCGAGGAAGCGUUCCGUAAUUGAAAUUCAAGAGGCCCACUUUUCCUUCUCGAAGCAUGCAACCAGGAAAUACAGGCAUCUUCUGAAGGAAGAACAGCGAUUAAAAUUAUGUUAAACUAAGUUAUAACUGGAGUCUGCGAAUUUAUGGAUCAGCUGGAAAUGAACACAUUUGCAAUCGUCCUACGACUGAGGCUUGACGGUUGGCUGCGCAAGGCAUAAGGUCUCGGAAAUGCACUUCACAAGCCUCCCAGGUAUGGAGCGUUAUACAGUGCAGAAUGGACUUGAAGAGUGACGGAGGAAGAAAAUCACUUAGCAGCUUCAGAACUUUAACUUCACAUCUGUUACUGUGAUUUACCUUACAUCAGUAAGGCUGGAAUGGAGAGGGCAGAGAGUGUGCAUGGAACAAGCUGGUUCUAGUGCCCACCCAGCCUCCUUCUCAAUGGGAGUUCGGGACUCCAUCUCCGGGGAAGCAGCGGUGGCCUGAAGACAACCACGCACAUCCAUCUAGUGCUGAUGACAAGAAUUCUUCAGCUGUGCCUUUCUCCUUCACAAGCUCACAU